rnacentral:rRNA from 1 species
UCAGUGGUGAAAUCUCAUAGCUUAACUAUGAAACUGCCAUUGAUACUGCGAGCCUUGAGUAAGGUAGAGGUAGCUGGAAUAAGUAGUGUAGCGGUGAAAUGCAUAGAUAUUACUUAGAACACCAAUUGCGAAGGCAGGUUACCAUGUCUUAACUGACGCUGAUGGACGAAAGCGUGGGGAGCGAACAGGAUUAGAUACCCUGGUAGUCCACGCCGUAAACGAUGCUAACUCGUUUUUGGGUUUUCGGAUUCAGAGACUAAGCGAAAGUGAUAAGUUAGCCACCUGG